AUGGUCCAUUCCCAUCCUGUGGCUCCACGUGAAUCCACAACAGCUAUGGCCAAAGAGUGGCAGGUGCUAUGUACCCACCACAGCCCCUGGCAUCCUUCCCAGAGGGCAACUUUACCCUCUACCACACUGAGGAGCUGUGGGACAAAACCCAGGGGCGCCCUUAGUGUGUGCCCCACAGAGGCAGCUGAGGGGCGGGGGGGCUGGCCCACACCACGGGCCAGCAGCCACCCUUUCGAGCUGAGCUGGGCUGGAAACAUUCGGCUCAGCCUCAGCUGUCAGCUCCCUGUCCCCAGCCUGGGGAAUGAGCCGCUGGCGGCACCACAUGAUUCAUCACCAGGCUGCCUGCACCCCAGGCCAGCCGCCCCCGCCCUGCUCAGCACCUGCGGACUGCCAGGAAACACAUGUGACCCCUUUGGGUCAGGCCCAGCACUGAGACCCCAGGCCAGGCUGAUGGAGGGCGGACAGACGCAAGGGCCAUGCUUUCCUGGGGGGCUAUCCAGGCUCCUAGGAAAAGGGUAUAGGAUGAGGUUGGUAGGUCCACAUCUAUCCCUCCAUUUUAUCCCAUCUCCUUCCCCCACUCCCCCCACUGCACCGGACGGCGGACACAGUGUCGGCUGGGACUUUUCCGCUCUCGAUGAGCCCCCUCCCCUCCCCCUCCCCAAAGUGGCUGCAGCUGUCAGGACCGCAGAUUGGAACUGCAGGUACGGGGCUGGCCCGCUGCCCACCUCCCUCCCGUGUCUGUCUGCGAGAGAGGAAGCCAGCCCACCUCUGGAAUCCUUCACUCUCUCCUCGUUCUGCCUCUCCCACCUGUCCCCGGGGAGCAUGGGGUCAGCCGCCUCGCUCAGUCUCUCUCUUCCCCAGCCCCUCUCCGAUUACAAUGUGGGUAGUGUUCGCUGUUGCUCGGCUCCCCCUGCACCAGCCACCCUCUUGUCUCCGAGCUCACGGCCUUCCUGUGCUGCCACCUCCCCCUCGUGGGGUGUCUUAUCUCUGAGUGCUGAGCACUAG
rnacentral:lncRNA from 1 species